UACUACAACAGCUAACAAUUUUUUUUUUAACAUAUGUAUGUCCUAUAUUAUAUUUGGGACAUACUUAUAGUAAAAAAAAAAUAAAUCAUUGUUUAUCUGAAAUUCAAAA
rnacentral:miRNA from 1 species